rnacentral:rRNA from 1 species
CAGUUCGGUCCCUAUCCAUCGUGGGCGUAGGAUAUUUGAGAGGAUUUGUCCCUAGUACGAGAGGACCAGGAUGAACGCACCUAUUGUGUACCGGUUGUUGUGCCAACGGCAUUGCCGGGUAGCGAAGUGCGGAGAGGAUAAACGCUGAAAGCAUCUAAGCGUGAAACCCACCUCAAGAUAAGAUAUCCCAUGUAGAAAUACAGUAAGACUCCUUGUAGACUACAAGGUUGAUAGGUCAGGGGUGUAAGUGCAGCAAUGCAUGUAGCUGACUGAUACUAAUAAGUCGAGGGCUUGAUCAC